UAACUCCUAAAUUGCCAUUGAUACUGGCGGGCUUGAGUGUAGAUGAGGUAGGCGGAAUGCGUGGUGUAGCGGUGGAAUGCAUAGAUAUCACGCAGAACUCCGAUUGCGAAGGCAGCUUACUAAGGUACAACUGACGCUGAAGCACGAAAGCGUGGGUAUCAAACAGGAUUAGAUACCCUGGUAGUCCACGCAGUAAACGAUGAUAUCUGGGCGUAUGCGAUAUACAGUAUGCUCCUAAGCGAAAGCGUUAAGUUAUCCACCUGGGGAGUACGCCGGCAACGGUGAAACUCAAAGGAAUUGACGGGGGCCCGCACAAGCGGAGGAACAUAUGGUUUAAUUCGAUGAUACGCGAGGAACCUUACCCGGGAUUGAAAUGUAGAUGACCGCUCCUGAAAGGGAGUUUUCCUUCGGGACAUCUAUGUAGGUGCUGCAUGGUUGUCGUCAGCUCGUGCCGUGAGGUGUCGGCUUAAGUGCCAUAACGAGCGCAACCCCUGUCUACGGUUGCCAUCAGGUAAUGCUGGGAACUCCGUAGAGACUGCCGUCGUAAGGCGUGAGGAAGGUGGGGAUGACGUCAAAUCAGCACGGCCCUUACAUCCGGGGCGACACACGUGUUACAAUGGUAAGGACAAAGGGCAGCUACCUGGCGACAGGAUGCGAAUCUCAAAACCUUAUCACAGUUCGGAUCGGAGUCUGCAACUCGACUCCGUGAGGCUGGAUUCGCUAGUAAUCGCGCAUCAGCCAUGGCGCGGUGAAUACGUUCCCGGGCCUUGUACACACCGCCCGUCAAGCCAUGGGAGUCUGGAGUACCUAAAGUCCGUAACCGCAAGGGUCGGCCUGGGGUAAUACAGGUGACUGGGGCUAAGUCGUAACAAGGUAACC
rnacentral:rRNA from 1 species